AUGACGAAUAUGGUUCACAUCGAUGAGAAGUGGUUCGACAUGACGAGAGUGAAGAAUAGUUACUAUGUACUUCCAGGAGAACCUGAACCGAAGCGCACCAUGUCAAACACUCACAGCAUUGGGAAGGUAAUGUUCCUAACAGCUGUUGCUAGGCCUCGAUAUAACAAUGAGGAGGAGCUAACAUUCGAUGGGAAGAUCGGCAUUUGGGCAUUCGUCGAAGAGACUGAGGCGAAGCGGACAAGUCAGAACAGAACAAAGGGAACAAAAGUGUUGACAUCAGUGAAAGUAACCAGGCCUGUGUGCAGAGAUUAUCUAAUCAAUAAGGUUAUCCCGGCAAUUCAGGAUAAGUGGCCUGACGAUGAUGAGGGAGCAACAAUAUUCAUCCAACAGGAUAACGCAAAGCCUCAUGUCCUUCCCAAUGAUGUAGCUUUUCGAGAAGCUGUGGAACAAACUGAUCUUGACAUCCGAUUGCUACAACAGCCCCCAAAUAGCCCUGAGUUAAAUUUUCUGGACCUAUGCUUCCAUAACUCACUCCAGUCUCUAACCGACUGCAGGUCACCUACAAACAUCCAGGAACUGGUACAGGGUGUGGAAGAGGAAUUCGAGAACUACGAUCCCGACAAGUUGCACAGAAGCUUUAUCACAUUAGAAGCAGUUAUGUUUGAAGUUAUUAAGGACAAAGGAGGAAAUCAAUUUAAGUUGCCCCACUUGCACAAGGAUCGCUUUCAGAAUGCUGGACUAGAAAUAACCAGUGUAUAUUGCGAUAGUCGGGUAGUUGUUGAUACUAGGGUCAUUAUAGAAGAAAUGGAAAUUGCAAUAGGAAAAGAAAAUGAAAGGAAAGAAUUAGCUAGAGAAGGGAAAAGAAAGAAAAUAGCUAGGUAUUGUAGAUAUGAUAGCUGCAGUUUCAGAACAAAGGAGAAGGAAAAAGGCUUCUUCCAUGCCACUUAUCUGAAGAAGCAACACGAGCACUUACAGGACAAAGAAAAGAGACAGAGCACAAGGGAACAGAGACAGAACCAUGGUGGUCAGCAAGCAAGCACGCACGCACCUCUCCUGCAUCCAUCCCAAUGCACUGGGUGUCAAUGGCGCCCGCGAGCUCCAUCCCCCUCGUUCCCGAUCCCCACUCUCCCUCUCCCCGAGCGCGUCGCCCCUGCAGCCUCCCGUCGCCCGCCUCCGUUCGGCUCCCUCGCUGCGGCCUUGCCGGAUGUCGGCGACCUCGAGCGCCGCCCUCCUCCCUUCCGCGCCGUGCCUCCCCGCGCUACCACCGGAGGGGCCAACUCCGGCGGCCCCGGCGCCCGCGCCAAGCUGCCGUCAGGUCCCGCGUCGCCAUCCAAGACCCCGCCGGCCUCCCCUGCUUCUAUUGCACGGGAACGACGCAUCGAGCGCCCGCCUACAGCCAAGCCGCCAAGGCCCUGCUCUGCCGUCCGCCACUCCGUCGACCCUGCCUCCAUGGCCUUGCUGCCGCUGCCAUCCCUCAACUCCUUCUCCAGCGAGCCCCGUGGCCGGUCUGCAUCGCCCUUGCCGGACUCCAUCCUUGCUCCGCUGCCACCACGCUCGACCCCAAGACAUGAGGUUGUUGGUGGUGGUCCGGAUCCAGCGCCUCCGGGCUCGCCGACGCCGGUUCUGACACAGCCGGAGCAGAGCGCGGCGGUAGCUGGGGAAAUCGAACAUUUUUAUGACGAAGGGGGGAGCUUGGGGAGGCAGGCGAGUGGCAGCUGCGGCGGUGGAGCAGGAGGCAGCUGCAGCAGGGGAGCGGGGAGCGGGGGAGCUGCGGCGGCGGGGACAGGGCAGCUGCGGCGGCGUGGAGGAGCGAAGCUACGGCGGCGGGGAGCAGCGGAGCUGGGGAUUCUGUCGGAGGAGCAAGACGAGGAGCGCGGGUUCGGUCGGGAGAAACUGGAGGGCUUUUUUGCAAAACUGCCCUCGCGACAUAUUUUUCGGGACGGAGGGAGUAGUGGGUUUACGCGUGGCCACGGGAGAAAGGUCCUGUCCUCUCUCUCCGGGGACUUCGACGGCGAAGAAGAAGAAAAGGAAGAAGAAGAGCGACGCAGCGAGCACCUGCCUGCCUGCGGCGGCCAGGCGCUAGGGGAGCUGCGUCCAAGGCUCUGA
rnacentral:rRNA from 1 species